rnacentral:rRNA from 1 species
UAGGGAAUCUUCGGCAAUGGACGGAAGUCUGACCGAGCAACGCCGCGUGAGUGAAGAAGGUUUUCGGAUCGUAAAGCUCUGUUGUAAGAGAAGAACGAGUGUGAGAGUGGAAAGUUCACACUGUGACGGUAUCUUACCAGAAAGGGACGGCUAACUACGUGCCAGCAGCCGCGGUAAUACGUAGGUCCCGAGCGUUGUCCGGAUUUAUUGGGCGUAAAGCGAGCGCGGGCGGUUAGAUAAGUCUGAAGUUAAAGGCUGUGGCUUAACCAUAGUAGGCUUUGGAAACUGUUUAACUUGAGUGCAAGAGGGGAGAGUGGAAUUCCAUGUGUAGCGGUGAAAUGCGUAGAUAUAUGGAGGAACACCGGUGGCGAAAGCGGCUCUCUGGCUUGUAACUGACGCUGAGGCUCGAAAGCGUGGGGAGCAAACAGGAUUAGAUACCCUGGUAGUCCACGCUGUAAACGAUGAGUGCUAGGUGUUAGACCCUUUCCGGGGUUUAGUGCCGUAGCUAACGCAUUAAGCACUCCGCCUGGGGAGUACGACCGCAAGGUU